rnacentral:rRNA from 1 species
CCUACGGGAGGCAGCAGUGGGGAAUAUUGGGCAAUGGGCGCAAGCCUGACCCAGCAACGCCGCGUGAAGGAAGAAGGUUUUCGGGUUGUAAACUUCUUUUGUCAGGGACGACGCAAGUGACGGUACCUGACGAAUAAGCCACGGCUAAAUACGUGCCAGCCGCCGCGGUAAUACGUAGGUGGCAAGCGAUAUCCGGAUUUACUGGGUGUAAAGGGCGUGUAGGCGGGGACGCAAGUCAGAUGUGAAACCCACGGGCUCAACCUGUGGCCUGCAUUUGAAACUGUUUUUCUUGAGGGCUGGAGAGGCAAUCGGAAAGCCGUGUGGAGCGGUGGAAGGCGUAGAUAUACGGAGGAACACCAGUAGCGAAGGCGGGUUGCUGGACAGUAACUGACGCUGAGGCGCGAAAGCGUGGGGAGCAAACAGGAUUAGAUACCCUAGUAGUC